rnacentral:sRNA from 1 species
GUUAGUCGCCCAUGGCGGGCGUUUCCUCCCUUUCACUUGAGCCCCGUUCGCCCGGCGAACGGGGCUUCUUCCAUGCCGGA